rnacentral:rRNA from 1 species
GACGAACGCUGGCGGCGUGCUUAACACAUGCAAGUCGAGCGGUAAGGCCCUUUCGGGGGUACACGAGCGGCGAACGGGUGAGUAACACGUGGGUGACCUGCCCUCAGCUCUGGGAUAAGCCUGGGAAACCGGGUCUAAUACUGGAUAUGACUCCAUGACGCAUGUUGUGGGGUGGAAAGCCUUGUGCGGCUGAGGAUGGGCCCGCGGCCUAUCAGCUUGUUGGUGGGGUGANGGCCUACCAAGGCGACGACGGGUAGCCGGCCUGAGAGGGCGACCGGCCACACUGGGACUGAGACACGGCCCAGACUCCUACGGGAGACAGCAGUGGGGAAUCUUGCGCAAUGGGCGAAAGCCUGACGCAGCGACGCCGCGUGA